UACGUAGGGUGCGAGCGUUUGUCCGGAUUAUUGGGCGUAAAGAGCUCGUAGGCGGCUUGUCGCGUCGGAUGUGAAAGCCCGGGGCUUAACUCCGGGUCUGCAUUCGAUACGGGCAGGCUAGAGUUCGGUAGGGGAGAUCGGAAUUCCUGGUGUAGCGGUGAAAUGCGCAGAUAUCAGGAGGAACACCGGUGGCGAAGGCGGAUCUCUGGGCCGAUACUGACGCUGAGGAGCGAAAGCGUGGGGAGCGAACAAG
rnacentral:rRNA from 1 species